CAUCCUGAAAGACGGUACCCAAGCUGUUCACGCAGCCGGACCGAAGCGGAAAGGAAGAUAUG
rnacentral:sRNA from 12 species